rnacentral:rRNA from 1 species
AGCAGUAGCCGCGGUAAUCCGAAGGGUGCAAGCGUUAAUCGGAAUUACUGGGCGUAAAGCGUGCGUAGGCGGUGAGUUAAGUCUGCUGUGAAAUCCCCGGGCUCAACCUGGGAAUGGCAGUGGAUACUGGCUCGCUAGAGUGUGUCAGAGGAUGGUGGAAUUCCCGGUGGAGCGGUGAAAUGCGUUGAGAUCGGAAAGAACACCAACGGCGAAAGCACUCUGCUGGGCCGACACUGACACUGAGAGACGAAAGCUAGGGGAGCAAAUGGGAUUAGAUACCCCGGUAGUCCCUGUCUCUUAUAC